UCCCGCCCUUCCGUCCCUUUAUCUCACUCCUAAAAACCCUAGAUCUUCUAAUUCUUCUUCCGUACUCUUCUCUUCUCCCUUCUCUGGCGAUUCAAGAAGACCAGAUGCGAUUCCUCUUUAGAUCUGCGAUUCCUCUUCUUCAGCCGGGAUCCACGAAGUAGUAAUUAGGGCUAUCUCUUCUUUAACUCCAUUUUUUCGGCGGUGUUUGUGUCGUCUUUUGUUGUCAGGUGAUUAUGAACUGACUUCAGCAGAUCAGCCAAUGUUCAUCCUUUGUUUGAUAUUGAAGACAAUCUCUUCUUUAACUCCAUUUGCUGGAAGCGGAUCCUAUCUUAGUUUAAAGUGGGCUGAACGGGCUUGAAUUGCUGUUAACAAGAUUCUAGGUAACGUGUCGUUCGGAGGGGAUAGCUAAUGGGUCAAAAUGGAUAGAGUUUAAAGCAGAAAGUAUGGUGAUGAUUGGCUCUAAGAAACUUCAGAAACUGAUGGUGAUGAUGCACAUAUGCAUGGAACAGAUGAGGUUUGGCAUGAAGAUGCGUCACAGGGAGCCAUUGAAGAUUAGCCUGACGUGACUUCCGACCUGCUAUGAAGGCCGCACAUGGGCGUUGUUGGGAGGGUCAACAGGUUUCACCCACCUGACGAUGAUAAUGCUAUAUGGCUCUAGUGGCAGCCGGAACGAGUAUUUGAGAUUUAAUCAUCAUCACUUAUUUUGUCAUCCAUUGUAUUUUGGAUUCAUCAACAAACUUCGAUCACAAAUCUAUGAAACUUGCUGACUUUGAUUUGGCAAGAGAAGAAUUAUUAACAGAGAUGAUGACUGCAGAAACCGGAACUUACCGCUGGAUGGCUCCAGAGCUUUACAGUACAGUAACACUGAGGCAGGGAUCGAAGACGCAUUAUACACAAUAAGAUGCCGUUCGAGGGCAUGUCGAAUCUUCAACCAGAUUGGUCCGCCAUCUUUUCUAACAGUUUUGGGUGACUUUUAUGUGUGUGUAUGGUACGUGAACGUGAGUGAUGAUGAAGUGCACAUUUCUAGAUGUUUUGAAAAUUGAAACUAUACAAAUAAUGGAUGAAUUACUAAGAGAUGAAAACCAGAAUAGGGUUCUAUCUAUGGUGAAACCACUGUUGGGUUAACAGUGGUUGAAACCACUGUUGGGUUAAAACAGUGAGUUAAACCACUGUUGGGUUAAAAUAGUGGUUGAAACUACUGUUGGGUUAAAACAGUGAGUUAAACCACUGUUUGGUUAAAAUAGUGGUUGAAACCACUGUUGGGUUAAAACAGUGAGUUAAACCACUGUUGGGUUAAAAAAGUGGUUGAAACCAUUGUUGGGUUGAAACCACUGUUGGGUUAAAACAGUGAGUUAAACCACUGUUGGGUUAAAAAAGUGGUUGAAACCACUGUUGGGUUAAAACACUGAGUUAAACCACUGUUGGGUUAAAAAAGUGGUUGAAACCACUAUUGGGUUAAAACAGUUAGUUAAACCACUGUUGGGUUAAAACAGUGAGUUAAACUACUGUUGAGUUACAACAGUGGUUGAAACUACUGUUGAGUUACAACAGUGGUUGAAACUAUUUUAAAGCGAAGAGACUUCAGCGGAUGAAAUCCGGCACUGUGAACGAUGCUGCAUUUGUGUUUAACCUAAUGAUUCGAAGUGGAGGAGAUGCAUUAAGAGGUUCUGCAUCUUCGAGUGAUGGGUUAUUCAGCAAUCUGGAUUCAUGUGGGCGAGAUAAUACGUCAAAACCCACAGUUGAAAAGUUUGAUUUAAACGAUCUUGAUUGGACAGAUAAGGUUCCAGAGUGCCCUAUAUACUUUCCAUGUAAAGAAGAGUUUGAGGAUCCUUUGGUUUAUCUCCAAAAUAUAGCUUCAGAAGCUUCAAGAUUUGGUAUAUGCAAGAUUGUUUCGCCUUUGAGUGCUUCAGUUUCUACUGGUACAGUUUUGACAAGAGAGAAAGUUGGUUUUAAGUUUACUACACGAGUGCAGCCUCUUCGUCUUGCUGAGUGGAAUACUGAUGACAAUAGAGAAAGUUAAGUUUUGUUUGAAAUAUUAAUUAUUUAUAUAGUUAUGUAUUAUAUAUUUUAUAUUCCAAAAUUUUAACUUCCUUAUGCAGUAUGCAGGGUCUUGCAGGUGGCGAGUCAAGUGAGUUAGGUAAUGAGUUCAAGCUCUAAUGGAUUUUUUGUUAUGGAUCGUGACGGUCCAGGCGCAAUCACUAUUUUGUUCAUUUCCAAAAGUUUUUUUAAAUAAUUAAUGCGUGAUGGGUAACUUGAGCCAUAUCUCAGCUAACUUAAUAUAAUAUACAUACACAUGUGUUUUAAGUUGAGAGUCGUAUCUCACUUAUAGAGAACAACAUGGCUGAAAAUAUUCUACAUGUGCAUACUGACUGGAAGUUUUGUGGGUUAUAUUUAUUGUGGAUUUGUGUGCUACUGAUCUUUCUUUUUUUCUUUUGUUGAUUUUCUGAAAGAGUCAUGAACAAUUAAUUUAAUAAAUUUAUAUUGAUGUGUGCAUCUAAACAUUAAUUGCUUAUUGCAGUUUUGACUUUGUUAUCAAAUAGAUAGAAUGGGUGUCCUUUCUUUGGGAUUUUGAAGGAUCCAAGUAAUCCUGAACGGGUGCUCUAUUUAUCAUAAUCUUUCAUUGGGUAAAUAGAUAAUCGCUAUGGCCGACUGAAAGAGAUAAUCAAGAUCUGCAGAUGAUUGAUAACAGUUCCAUUCUCAUCGUUCUUCAUUUUCAUUUGGUUAUCCAGAUUUUCUUUUCCUAAUUUGUUAAGUCUAUUACGUUUUCCUAACUUUAUUUGUAAUUAUAAAAUUAGGAAACAAUAUCCCAGUACAUAUGUUUGAAAUGGAUCCUUUGUUUUGUUAUUAGUAUUGUAGGCUUCUUCGAUAACCUAGCCAUUGAAAACAUUGCUAGUGUGAAGUUUGUUAGGGUUUUCAUAUAUUCAAUCUUUUUGUUCCA